UACGUAGGGGGCUAGCGUUGUCCGGAUUCAUUGGGCGUAAAGAGCGUGUAGGCGGUUUGUUAAGUCAGCUGUGAAAGCCCGGGGCUCAACCCCGGAGGGUCAGCUGAUACUGGCAGGCUAGAGUACAGAAGAGGUAACUGGAAUUCCCAGUGUAGCGGUGAAAUGCGUAGAGAUUGGGAAGAACACCAGCGGCGAAAGCGUGCUACUGGGUCUGCACUGACACUGAGGGACGAAAGCUAGGGGAGCGAAAGGG
rnacentral:rRNA from 1 species